CAAAUGAGAGCAUAUGGGGAAUGCUGUUAAACUGUGUUGUGUCUAUGAUAACGUUCGCUAACACUUGGUCCUGCGGAAUAAUAACCUAGCUAACGUUACAGUAAAGCUGUAGCUAUGCAAAACAGCGACGCAGAACGGGUUGACUAACGUUACAGAUUUCCUUUUUCCUCAUUAAUGUUAAAGCUCUAGCUAAUAACAUUAGUUGUUAACAUAGACAGUGGUUGUUAACAUGCCGUAUGAGCUAGCUAAACAUUUGUCAGCCGAGCUAACACGAUAACAUAAAUCCCUACUUCAUGUUUACGUUAUUCAGUAGCGACUGUACGUACCAUGGGGUACGUGACGUUACACAGUAUGGCUGUGUGUCCUCCCCCCCUAAAAGUCUCCUUAAACGAACCACAAAAUUGACAAUUUUCAGGACAAAGCGACGUAAUUAUAUUUCACUUACAAAAUUCCGCAAUGUAAAAAGAGGCAACAUAAUUUUCCUCGCACCAGUCCAGCGUUGAGGUCGGCCGCCCCCAGUAUCCCUGCCUGUCUGCCGAGGGAGCCAUGAUGGAAGAGCAGGAGGCUGUUGGUACUAACGGAUUUGUAGUCCCAUCACAGCACGAGCAGUCCUCGCACGAGUCGAGCCCUCCUCCUUACGAGCGAUGGGAAGACAACAAAGUCCAUUCCCCAUUCCAAGGCAGAGGCGUGGAACACACUGGCCAGGUAGAGACCCUUCUUCCCGGAGAUCUUGGACAAGUCAGCUUUGGAUUUGUCCACAGCCUCUGUCAGGCCCAACUUCCCAAAGCUUUUCUAAAUAGGAGCAGAACAUUAAGGUUGUGACUGACUUCCAUGCUGACUUUGGGCAGAGACACGGCUAUUGCUGUCUGUUGCAGCUUGCCCAUCCACGUAUCCAGCUGCUUCUUGGUCAGCAUCUUCUCCACUCUGUCCAGAGGUUCCGUAUGGGCAUCAGGUCACAUGAUGUUAGCCGCACAGCCCCAUCACCAGCAGAACCAACAGUAAACUGCAGGAGACAACGUGAUGUUCUUUGAAACCAUAGCAGUCCAUCUGACAAUCACACAAAUGAAAUAUGACCUCGAGCUACAUGUCUGAUACCUCAGCGUUACAUAACAAAAAAGUGCUAAUGUGUCAGUGAAGCGGUUCGGCCGGAUUGUGGUAAGCAACCUUCUGACACAAAUGUGGUGAACUUGGCAGCAACAGUAUGUUUACAGGAUCUGGUGUGGGGGGGUUUUCUGCCUGAAUCUUCCUGGUAACUGUAUCAGCACCCUUAUUGUCUUAUGCCUGUGGGAGUUUGACUCAGGCUCUCCAUAACAACAGGGAGCUCCAAAGGCAAACUCACUAGUUCAGUAACUUUUGCAGCUAUAUUCAGUAGUAUAGAAACCUUUUACUUAUUACUUUUAAAUAUGUAUGCAUAUGGAUUCUUGACAAAGGGAAUAUGGGAACUCCCUUUGUGAAGAGAGUAUGGGAACUGAAUUCUCUGGUUGCAUAUUUUCCCAUGAAUGCUUCCUUCUCUUCUUCCUGGUGGUAUGUGCAUCCCCCCCCUGCUCGGGGAGUGGUGUUUAGAUGUGAUCAGGCAGCAGGAAGUUACAGAAGAAGCGGAUGCAUGUCCGCUUUAACACUGCCUCUGUUACAGUAAAUCAAGUUAAAUUUAUUUAUACAUGUAUAGCCCAACAUCACAGAUCACAAAUUUGCCUCAAGGUCCUUUAGAAUUUGUACAACAUGCAACACUCUCUAUCCCUAGUCCCUCAA